rnacentral:rRNA from 1 species
AGUGGCGCACGGGUGAGUAACGCGUAGAUAACCUGUCUUCACGUCUGGAAUAAUACGCCGAAAGGGGUACUAAUACCGGAUAUUCUUGCUUUUCAUAAGUUUUGCAAGGAAAGGUGGCCUCUGAAUAUGCUACUGCGCGAAGAGGGGUCUGCGUACCAUUAGCUAGUAGGUGGGGUAAUGGCCUACCUAGGCUACGAUGGUUAGCGGGUCUGAGAGGAUGAUCCGCCACACUGGCACUGGAACACGGGCCAGACUCCUACGGGAGGCAGCAGUGAGGAAUAUUGCGCAAUGGGGGAAACCCUGACGCAGCGACGCCGCGUGAGUGAGGAAGGCCUUCGGGUCGUAAAGCUCUGUCAAAGGGAAAGAAGUGCAUGAUGGCUAAUACCUGUCAUGUUUGACGGUACCCUUAAAGGAAGCACCGGCUAACUCCGUGCCAGCAGCCGCGGUAAUACGGAGGGUGCAAGCGUUGUUCGGAAUCACUGGGCGUAAAGGGCGCGUAGGCGGUUUGAUAAGUCAGAUGUGAAAGCCCACGGCUUAACUGUGGAAGUGCAUUUGAAACUGUCAGACUUGAGUAUCAGAGGGGAAAGUGGAAUUCCCGGUGUAGAGGUGAAAUUCGUAGAUAUCGGGAGGAAUACCGGUGGCGAAGGCGACUUUCUGGCUGAAUACUGACGCUGAGGCGCGAAAGCGUGGGGGAGCAAACAGGAUUAGAUACCCUGGUAGUCCACGCUGUAAACGAUGUCAACUAGAUGUAGGGGGUGUUGAUCCCCUCUGUGUCGCAGCUAACGCAUUAAGUUGACCGCCUGGGGAGUACGGUCGCAAGAUUAAAACUCAAAGGAAUUGACGG